rnacentral:rRNA from 1 species
GACGAACGCUGGCGGCGUGCCUAAUACAUGCAAGUCGAGCGAAUGACGAGAAGCUUGCUUCUCUGAUUUAGCGGCGGACGGGUGAGUAACACGUGGGCAACCUGCCCUACAGAUCGGGAUAACUCAGGGAAACCUGGGCUAAUACCGGAUAAUCCUUCGAAUCACAUGUUUUGAAGUUGAAAGGCGCUUCGGCGUCACUGUAGGAUGGGCCCGCGGCGCAUUAGCUAGUUGGUGGGGUAACGGCCUACCAAGGCAACGAUGCAUAGCCGACCUGAGAGGGUGAUCGACCACAUUGGGACUGAGACACGGCCCAAACUCCUACGGGAGGCAGCAGUAGGGAAUCUUCCACAAUGGACGAAAGUCUGAUGGAGCAGCGCCGCGUGAGUGAUGAAGGUUUUCGGAUCGUAAAACUCUGUUGUAAGGGAAGAACAAGUACGUUAGGAAAUGAACGUACCUUGACGGUACCUUAUUAGAAAGCCACGGCUAACUACGUGCCAGCCGCCGCCGUAAGAC